rnacentral:rRNA from 1 species
GAGUUUGAUCAUGGCUCAGAUUGAACGCUGGCGGCAGGCCUAACACAUGCAAGUCGAGCGGUAGCACAGAGAGCUUGCUCUCGGGUGACGAGCGGCGGACGGGUGAGUAAUGUCUGGGAAACUGCCUGAUGGAGGGGGAUAACUACUGGAAACGGUAGCUAAUACCGCAUAAUGUCGCAAGACCAAAGAGGGGGACCUUCGGGCCUCUUGCCAUCAGAUGUGCCCAGAUGGGAUUAGCUAGUAGGUGGGGUAACGGCUCACCUAGGCGACGAUCCCUAGCUGGUCUGAGAGGAUGACCAGCCACACUGGAACUGAGACACGGUCCAGACUCCUACGGGAGGCAGCAGUGGGGAAUAUUGCACAAUGGGCGCAAGCCUGAUGCAGCCAUGCCGCGUGUAUGAAGAAGGCCUUCGGGUUGUAAAGUACUUUCAGCGGGGAGGAAGGCGAUAAGGUUAAUAACCUUGUCGAUUGACGUUACCCGCAGAAGAAGCACCGGCUAACUCCGUGCCAGCAGCCGCGGUAAUACGGAGGGUGCAAGCGUUAAUCGGAAUUACUGGGCGUAAAGCGCACGCAGGCGGUCUGUCAAGUCGGAUGUGAAAUCCCCGGGCUCAACCUGGGAACUGCAUUCGAAACUGGCAGGCUAGAGUCUUGUAGAGGGGGGUAGAAUUCCAGGUGUAGCGGUGAAAUGCGUAGAGAUCUGGAGGAAUGCCGGUGGCGAAGGCGGCCCCCUGGACAAAGACUGACGCUCAGGUGCGAAAGCGUGGGGAGCAAACAGGAUUAGAUACCCUGGUAGUCCACGCCGUAAACGAUGUCGACUUGGAGGUUGUGCCCUUGAGGCGUGGCUUCCGGAGCUAACGCGUUAAGUCGACCGCCUGGGGAGUACGGCCGCAAGGUUAAAACUCAAAUGAAUUGACGGGGGCCCGCACAAGCGGUGGAGCAUGUGGUUUAAUUCGAUGCAACGCGAAGAACCUUACCUACUCUUGACAUCCAGAGAACUUUCCAGAGAUGGAUUGGUGCCUUCGGGAACUCUGAGACAGGUGCUGCAUGGCUGUCGUCAGCUCGUGUUGUGAAAUGUUGGGUUAAGUCCCGCAACGAGCGCAACCCUUAUCCUUUGUUGCCAGCGGUUAGGCCGGGAACUCAAAGGAGACUGCCAGUGAUAAACUGGAGGAAGGUGGGGAUGACGUCAAGUCAUCAUGGCCCUUACGAGUAGGGCUACACACGUGCUACAAUGGCGCAUACAAAGAGAAGCGACCUCGCGAGAGCAAGCGGACCUCAUAAAGUGCGUCGUAGUCCGGAUUGGAGUCUGCAACUCGACUCCAUGAAGUCGGAAUCGCUAGUAAUCGUAGAUCAGAAUGCUACGGUGAAUACGU